UACGGGGGGGGCAAGCGUUGUUCGGAAUUACUGGGCGUAAAGGGCUCGUAGGUGGCCAACUAAGUCAGACGUGAAAUCCCUCGGCUUAACCGGGGAACUGCGUCUGAUACUGGAUGGCUUGAGUUUGGGAGAGGGACGCGGAAUUCCAGGUGUAGCGGUGAAAUGCGUAGAUAUCUGGAGGAACACCGGUGGCGAAGGCGGCGUCCUGGACCAAUUCUGACACUGAGGAGCGAAAGCCAGGGGAGCAAACGGG
rnacentral:rRNA from 1 species